ensembl:lncRNA CNTN4-AS1 CNTN4 antisense RNA 1
AUCCAGAUUGGAGGCCUUUGUGGUGGGUGGUGGACUGCAGGUGGAACCAAGCACAGGUGUGCCCUGGGCAGAGGUGGGCAAGAGGAAGGAACCCAAACAGUGCUGAUUCCACAUGGCCCUUGGUCAAGAAGCUGAAGGCCUAGAAAGGAGGUCUGAGAUGGAGGUGACACAGGCCUUGUGCCUGGGAGCACAAUGAGGAACCACACCCAGAUGCCAACGCUGAGGUGCCGUGUGUCUACUAUAAGGCGGAAGACACCAACAAAAAUGAUUUAAAUAUAAGCCAGUGGACCCUACCUGAGGCAACCAUGAAAGCCAACAAAUGAGACAAGUUUGGGUGGAGGUGCUCAUGGGGCACUUUCUAAAACAUCUUCAAUUCAGUUAGACUCAACUAAUCCAGGACCUCAUUUACCCGAUGAUGAAGCCAAUUGGUCAAAGACUUCUUCCAGCAUUUUCUUCUUUGUCUUCAUGUCUCCAAUAUUUAACCUAAGAAGAUAAACAGAAAGACCUUGGAAACCAUACCCAAUGGGGAUAUUUGCAAUGUCAUCAGGUAAUUUUGUACGCAGAUUCUUAUGAUGGAGUUAGUUUUCUAUACUACAUCAUGAGCAGAGCUAUCAGGAC